AGCUAUAAACAUGUUUCAGCAGACAGCAGCAAUGGCUGUUCUCAGAUGAUCUCAAAAAAGCUAAGUGGGGUCAAGCUGGGUUAGUACUUAGAUGGGAUGCCUCUGGAAAAUCCCAGUGCUAUAGUUA
rnacentral:rRNA from 1 species